GUGGGGAAUAUUGGGCAAUGGGGGCAACCCUGACCCAGCGACGCCGCGUGAGGGAAGAAGGCCUUAGGGUCGUAAACCUCUGUUGUGUGGGAAGAAGGAAGUGACGGUACCACACGAGGAAGUCCCGGCUAACUACGUGCCAGCAGCCGCGGUAAUACGUAGGGGACGAGCGUUGUCCGGAAUUACUGGGCGUAAAGGGCGCGUAGGCGGUCAUUUAAGUCAGCUGUGAAAUGGUCCGGCUCAACCGGAUCAUGCGGUUGAAACUGGAUGACUGGAGUGAUGGAGAGGCAAGUGGAAUUCCCAGUGUAGCGGUGAAAUGCGUAGAUAUUGGGAAGAACACCGGUGGCGAAGGCGACUUGCUGGCCAGCAACUGACGCUGAGGCGCGAAAGCCAGGGGAGCAAACGGGAUUAGAAACCCUGGUAGUCC
rnacentral:rRNA from 1 species